rnacentral:rRNA from 1 species
CAACCGCCGCGGUAAUACGUAGGUGGCAAGCGUUGUCUGGAAUUAUUGGGCGUAAAGGGCUCGCAGGCGGUCUCUUAAGUCUGUUGUGAAAGCCCCCGGCUCAACCGGGGAGGGUCAUUGGAAACUGGGAAACUUGAGUGCAGAAGAGGAGAGUGGAAUUCCACGUGUAGCGGUGAAAUGCGUAGAGAUGUGGAGGAACACCAGUGGCGAAGGCGACUCUCUGGUCUGUAACUGACGCUGAGGAGCGAAAGCGUGGGGAGCGAACAGGAUUAGAUACCCGUGUAGUCCCUGUCUCUUAUAC